UUUAAUGAGAGUUUGAUCCUGGCUCAGAACGAACGCUGGCGGCGUGCCUAACACAUGCAAGUCGAACGAGGUUUCCAGUUCGUAUCGGGAAUCUAGUGGCAGACGGGUGAGUAACACGUAAAUAACCUGCCCUCAAAAGGGGGAUAACCUGACGAAAGUCGGACUAAUACCCCGUAUAAUCCGGUU
rnacentral:rRNA from 1 species